CAGAGGUUGCAGUGAGCCAAGAUUUUGCCACUGCACUCCAGCCUGGGCGACAGAGCAAGACUCCAUCUCAAAAAUAAAAUUCAAAUAAAACAAAGCCUAUCCAUUGUGUUGGGUUUUGGCCCUAGGAGAUAAUUUUUACAUUCUUAUCUCAUUGCCCCACUGGCACAAAAGACUUCCUCCCUCUUCUAUAUUAAUACAUUUGUAACUUAAUAGAAGUGCCAGCGUGACCAUUUUGAAGAGGGUAGAGAAGAAUAUUUUAAUCUGUUACUUAAAAGGACUGACUUUAGAAACAAUCUACAAUAGUUGCUGAGAGCACUGGACAGGGGGAUCUGCUUUGGCAAUAUCCCAGAUUUAGGCUAAAAGUAGUAAGAGAUGAGUCCUGUUAGGAAUAUCUGGGAAUCACAGGCAAUAAGAAAUCUAUACCAGGUACUGUAAUGUAGUCCCUACAGCCUUAUUUUACUAUGUUAACUCAAAGGAGGUAUUUCACACACACAAAAAAAAAUCGGAAGUAAAUCUCCCUUACAUCAUCCUUAAAGAUUAGCAAUGUGCCUGGAAUACCCGGCUUCUACUUAAUAGCUUUUAGCUAUUUGUAGCGGGAAUUUAUCAUGUCUUAUAGAUCUUGUUGAUAUUAUUAGCCUUUAGUUCCCCAAAAGUGAGUUUCAUAUACCCACAUUGCCUUUUUGGGUCUGUUUUCUCAUCUAGAAAAUAAGAAAGAUAAUAAUUAUUAGUGUAAAUGCAAGCCUCUGCAAACCUCCUCUCUCAGGGUUCUACAAAAACAUCCUUGAAAACAUUAAGUAGGAAAAAAAUUUAUAUUAAUCAUAGAAGCUUAGGUUUAGAUUAGUGGAAACUAGAAAGAAUUUCUGCUAAACAGAAAUUUAGUAGAAUCCUAGUAAGGGGUAGGAUUUUAAAAAAUGACUGACUCCAAUUCUACAUCAGAACAUCCUGUUAAUAAAACAAGAUGACGGCCGGGCGCAGUGGCUCACGCCUGUAAUCCCAGCACUUCGGGAGGCCGAGAUGGGCCGAUCACGAGGUCAGGAAAUCAAGACCAUCCUGGCUAAUACGGUGAAACCCCGUCUCCACUAAAAAUACAAAAACUGAGCCAGGCGUGGCGGUGGGCGCCUGUAGUCCCAACUGCUCCAGAGGCUGAGGCAGGAGAAUGGCGUGAACCCGGGAGGCGGAGCUUGCAGUGAGCCGAGAUCACGCCACUGCACUCUAGCCUGGGCGACAGAGAGAGACUCCGUCUCAAAGAAAAACAAAUAAAACAAGAUGACACCUUAGCCUCCCAUCUUCUGACAUUCCUUGUUAUGUAUGAGAAGGCUAUACUAUUAAUUUGAGACAGCUAUUGAGAGUCUUGUCAUAAUAGGCUUCUUUCUGCAUUCCUUCACUAGUGGCCCUGAAGCUGCACUAUGUUGGAGGUUUCCUUGACUAAGAGAACCACACCUGGCAUUCACCUCGGUAGGGGAGUCAUAAAAGAUCCUGCCUCUGACCAGAAGAGUAUGAAUGACAAAGGUGACAUAACUAGCAUAGAAAGAUGUCUUAGCCUCUGCACAUCAGCUGAUUUAGAAUACUUACAGAUGGGGGGCGUGGUGGGGGGGCGGCGCAGAAUGUUCUUUUCAGCUUCUUUGCCCUGAGAACUUUGAUCUUAUUGCAAGGAAGUCCCUUACCCUCUUCUACCCUAGAUCUGACGGACCUCCUGGGAUUUCCUGGGAAAAUGAAAUGAGUCUAACACCUUUGACCACCUGCUGGAUAUUAUAUCAGCACUUACUUGAGUAGACUGUGAAAGAGCUGAAAGCAAUAUUCAGAGUCUGACAGUUCUCUGCAGUUGGCCUAGAUAACCUCAUUGUGAAAUAAGUAACUAAAUGGACAAAAGAUUUGAACAAGCACUUCACAAAAGAAGACCAAGAGGAGGGCAGGGUUUUUUUUUUUUUUGGAGAGUUUUAUUUAGUUUUGUUUUGGGGUUGUUUUGUUUUGGCAGAGGACAGGAGGAGUGGAUAGAUUCAUUUUGUAGAGAAAUAUUAAAAUAUUCUUUGGAAUUUGAUAGUUAAUUUAAGCUUAAGAAUCUUUUAAAAUUCAGAAUGUUCAGCCGUAUUAGUCAUCAAUGAACUACUCAUUACAACUACAAUAAGCUACCCUAACAGUGGUAUGAACAGCAAGAAUUAAAAUGUUGACAAUACCAAGUACUGGUGACAGUGUGAAACAAGAACUGCUGAUCCAAAUUGGCUCAACCACUUGGGAAAAUGUUUGACGGUAUCUACUAAAGUUGAAUAUAUGUAUGCCCUCAACUCAGCAGUUCCACUUCUAAGCAUAUAUCCAACAAAGAUGUGUACAUAUGUGUACCAAAAGACGCAUACAAAAACAUUCUUGGUAUUAUUCAUAGUAGCCUCAAAGUAGAAACAACCCCAGUGUCCAUGAACAGAAUGCAUAUGACACUGUAUAGCAAGGAAAUGAGCUAACUCUUGCUACACUUAAUGAUUUGAAGGAAUCUCACAAACAUAAUGUUGAACAAAAGCAACCAGCCAACAAAAGAUGUACUGUAGGAUUCCCACUUAACAGAGUUCAAAAACAAGUAAAACAUACCUUUGAGCAGACUGGAAUGGGGAAAUUCACAAAGGGAGUUAUGGUGUGUUGGUGGUCUUGUCUUUCUUGACCAGGAUGGGAUAACUGAUCGUUUUUGAGCUGUACUGUAUGGAGUAUGCAUUUUUUAUUUAUCUUAUACUUCAAUUAAAGUUUUUCUUUCUUAGUGAAUAAAGCAAAAAUCAGCAUGAGGCUGGUGAAACAGACAGUUCUGCAGAAUGAGAGAAGAGCAAUGUCUUGAAGCAUUUAGAAAGAAGGACUUUAUUCUUCCAGUGCUUAUAGAACAAGAAAUAUUAGAAAAUAUCUGCUUUUGCUCCCCCUAUGGUGCAGCAGGUUAUUAUGAUGGCAAGAGGGCAGGAGAAUAAGAGUGAGAAAAGAAAGGGAGAAGCUAAAUUAAUAUUUGUGUCAGAAAUAGUAAAUAGUCAUAGCACUAAAGAAAAUGGAAUCCAAGAUGAACAGUGAAUACUAAACUACUUUUCAGAAUCCUGUGGGUUUUCAUGAGUCCACAAAGGGAAGAUAGAGGGAAGUUCCCCCACUUCCUGUUCAUUAUACAGAUCAGAACUGCUUUCAUCAAUGUUAUAUAUUGUGCUUUAAAAGCUUUCCUUUAAAGGAUUCUGCAGCUUAAAUGAGUUAGGAUGAACAAAAAGCACCAGAGCGAAAGACAAAAAGCACCCUCCGACGUAUAUAGUAAGAGAAAAGGUGCAGAUCAAAAAGGCUGAUUACAGAGAUUUAUCCUUUGACUAAUAGAUGGUCCCAAUAAACAAUAACUCAUUUGAAUAGAAAAAACAUCAUUGAUCUAAAAAAUUUUAAAAGGCACAAGACUGAAGAUCCUCUUCUACACACUUUAAAUGCCAUCUGGAAUGGAGCAAUGUCUGCAGUUUUGUAGCCCAAGAUUUCUCUACUCAUCCAAAUUGUAAAGGUAACAGACAUUCUGUGAUAUACAAUGUACUGCUCAUUUGCCCUUUCUGGAAAAAAAUUAAUCACUGCACUCCCAAAAUGAAUCAAAAUUAAGAAUAAAAGAAUAAGGAAAGAAAGGCCAGUCGGUGAGUAUUGAUAUCAUCACGGAAACUAUUAGAAUAAUGAAAGUAAUUGUAAAUUUCAUUUUAAAAAAAGGUUUAUUAUAUGACUUAUCUAUUCUGAAAUUUUUCAGUGGGAUUUAUAACCCUAGGUUAAGUUAAUGAAGGCCAAGAAGGAAUGGCAGUUUCUUUUUUCGGGGGACAGAGGCAGGAAGCUGAAGUACACUCAGAGAAAUAAAGUAACUUGCUCAAGUAACAGCCAGAAAUGGGGAAGCUGGACUUCAGAUACAGAAUGAGGUGGAAGAAUAAAGUAAGAAAAGUAUAACUGAGAUGAGAAGAAGUGAAAGCAAGAGAAAAGGAUUAGAGAUGGCAGAAUAAAGAGGGUGACUCAGUGACUUCGGGGUCAAAAUGUUGGUUCCUUUUUCACCUUGGUUGUACAAGUUUGUUCAACAAUAAUGUAUUGACCAUGUAUGUACUAGCUGCCAAGGACAUAAUGGUGAAGAGAAAAAAAGAUGACUUCUUUGCCCUUAUGUAUAAUAGCUUAUAUAAUUAUUAUAAGCUUCUAUUAUAUAAUGUAGUUUGAAAAAGUAGUUUACAGUGAGUCAACUGCCAGUAAGGCAGGCUGGCUUCUCCCCAACCUAUCAAUUUUAGAGGAUUCACAAGAACACAGGAAUCCCCCUUUACUGUCAUCCUUAAUUUGGCCACACCUAAUUCUGCUUUUGUGUUUGUUUUAAAGGGUUUUAUUGUUGUGAUUUUGGGGAUAAAGAUUACAGUGUUGUCUACACAUCUUAAGUGUACGAUUUGAGAAUUCUUGAUUAACGCAUACACUCUUAUAACCCACUUUCGGAGACUAUUCCCAUGGGUCUGUUGUGUUUCUGUUCGUCUUGUAAGCAAAGGCACUAUCUUUUUAAAUAUGUUUGUAUAGUAAACAGAAUCAGAAGACAGAUAGUGUCUCCCUCUGGUGCAAGAGACAAGUUCUGUUUAGUAAAAUUAAGGUAAUAUCUCCUUCCAGGGCAAAGGACAAGCAGAGUUACAGCUCUUGAUUAAAGAUUUAGGCUUCUUAAGCUUGGUGUUCCUCAGUUGUAGCACACACUGUGGCAUGCACGGCAUCCACUCGGGUCACUCUGCAUUACCCCUGUAAGACUUGGGGGAUACUCUGCAUUACCCCUGUAAGACUUGGGGGACAAAAGGAACCAAGGCAGACAUGCAGCUCAGGCUGCUUACUGUGUUGCGGAUAAUGAAGUCCUUUGUCUCUGAUGCAGGAGAUGGUGGCAAGCUUUUUAUCUUGCAAGUAGAAUAACAUCUCAGACCCUUCACAGUUCUUGACAAUCCCACCCCUUCGAGAUAGAGUUCAUUUUUAUUGGAGCAGCAAGUUCCCUCAUGCCCCUUUCCCAUCAAUCUCACAAGAAUAUCCUUUUUCUGAUUUCAUUCACACUAGAUAGUGUUGCCUUUUCUAGAACAUCACAUACAUGGAAUCAUACAGCAUACAGUUGCCCCUUGGUAUCUUGAGGAGGAAUGUUCUCAGGACCUCCCUGCAGAUACCAAAAUCCAGGGAUGCUCAAAUUGUUAAGUCUCAUAUAAAAUGAUGUAGGCCAGGUGCAGUGACUUACGCCUGUAACUCUAGCAUUUUGGGAGGCUGAGGUGGGUGGAUCACUGACCUCAGGAGUUUGAGACCAG